rnacentral:tRNA from 1 species
UAGGAGAUGGUGUAGUGGAAGCACGAAGAGUUUUGAUCUCUUAAGCGGGGGUUCAAGUCCUCCUUUUCUAA